GAUUUUAUAGCUUAUAUAAAGUAUUGCUCUGAAGCGGCAAAGAAACUCUGUUAAAAUCAU
rnacentral:tRNA from 1 species